rnacentral:rRNA from 1 species
CAGUAGCCGCGGUAAUACGUAGGUGGCAAGCGUUGUCCGGAAUUAUUGGGCGUAAAGGGCUCGCAGGCGGUUUCUUGAGUCUGAUGUGAAAGCCCCCGGCUCAACCGGGGAGGGUCAUUGGAAACUGGGAAACUUGAGUGCAGAAGAGGAGAGUGGAAUUCCACGUGUAGCGGUGAAAUGCGUAGAGAUGUGGAGGAACACCAGUGGCGAAGGCGACUCUCUGGUCUGUAACUGACGCUGAGGAGCGAAAGCGUGGGGAGCGAACAGGAUUAGAUACCCCUGUAGUCCCUGUCUCUUAUAA